AUGCAGCUCAAAAUGGGUGGUAAAUUCCAUCUAAAGCUAAAUACUGGCGAGAGACCGAUAGCGAACAAGUACCGUGAGGGAAAGAUGWGAAGCACUUUGGAAAGAGAGUUAAACAGUACGUGAAAUUGUUGAAAGGGAAACGUUUGAAGUCAGUCGCGUCGGCCGGGACUCARCCUUGCUAUCUUGCUUGGUGCACUUCUCGGUCGACGGGUCAGCAUCAAUUUUGACCGUCGGAUAAAGGCCGAGGGAACGUGGCAUCCUCCGGGGUGUGUUAUAGCCCUUGGUUCGCAUACGGCGAUYGGGAUUGAGGAACUCAGCGCGCCUUYAUUGGUCSGGG
rnacentral:rRNA from 1 species